rnacentral:sRNA from 2 species
GAUGCUAGGACGAAACUAGUUGGGAACACAGGACCUCUUGUUGAAGCCCCAAGGCCCGAUGUAGCCUUGAGGUUGGAAUAUCGCUGAUGGCAGCCCGCAGUCCGCAGUCCGCCAACCGUGUUGAGGGGUUGACAGAUGGAGGCGGCAUCAGCGUCACCAAUCUUCCCCGAAUGGCACCUCAACCAGCGGAAAUGGAAAUUCAAUAUCUUGCUCAAUUAGCCUGGAUGGAAAAGUGACUGAAGAAUACAACUAUCGCCAGCCCUGAAAAUGAUUCCGAAAGAGAGGAACCUGGCCAACGCCUGCCAAAAUCCGGCAUGGAAUUUCGUGGUCCCCCAUUCAAACAAAGAUUAUAAUUAUAAAAUAUGAAUCAACCAUAACCGGGGGAAGUGCCAGGACACAUUUCCAGUUACAUAGACCUCGAGGAAUUGGGAGAAGUGAAGCAGUGUUUUAGAAGCUAGCCUUCUAAAAACCUUUUUUUGUUGUCCAAACUCCUAUCCGUUUUCAACCCCAAUUCUUAUAGCAUCCAGCGGUGGUCAGUUGCGUCUUCGUUCCGAAGAAGCUGAAGGAAACUAGACGCAGGAUCCAUGAAAGAUAUCUGCUUAUAGUAAAUAUUCAGACUGGUAGUCGGAAAACCAAUGGCCGUUCCAACUAUCGGGCCAUUAAAUGGAGAUAUAAGUUACCGGACAAGAGUUCCCCGGCAUUCCAGAUAUUGCAGG